rnacentral:misc_RNA from 1 species
GGGCAUUGAAGGUAACAUUAGAGACUUCAAAUGAUCGUUUACUCACCAAGUCCCUGUCCACUUACAGUCCUAACACUUGUGUCUCCAAAAUUACUAUUACUUCUAUGUCUCAUUUGGUAUUGCAUUCCAAAUUACUUAUCAAAAAUUUACCCUUUUAGAUGCUUUCUUAUGAAAAAGCAAUUAAAAACUACUUUUGAGAUGUUUUGACAAAAAAUAUCAAAUAAACCUUCAAAGCAAUUUUUAGUUCAGAUUUGUACAUGGAAUCAGUUAGUAAUUUGUUUGCUGCUAUUUAGAACAAGACAUUUGAGAACUACUUCUCUAUUACUGCAGACUUGACUAUAUGCUGUGUAUUGAGGGAACUUUGAUAUUCAUGCCAAUUUUUAUAGGCAUUUGCUUAACAUUGCCGGUGUAUUUGUGUUUGCUUUUUUUCCCCCUCAUUAAAAGUGUUCUUAUUAAUAUUCCAACUGGCUCCAUAUUUUUUUCUACUAACUUGAAAAGGUUG